rnacentral:lncRNA from 1 species
GGUUUGUAGUGGCUCUUCCUUUUUUGGCCAAAUUCCGACCAUCCAGACAUCUAACAUCUUGCUCAUGCAAAACAGAGUUGAGACUACCAAAACUGACCAUAGAAGGCCCUGUAGAAAAGUCUCUUGCCUCCUAUGCACAUCCUGCCUUGCUUUCCGUCCCAGGACUCGAUCCAUCUACAGUGGCCCGUCCUAUGUAUAAAUUCCCGCCAUCCAGGCCACGUACCAUGAACCCAAGCAAUCUGAAAAGGUCCCUCAGAACUGAGGCAAGGACCUUGGCAACAGCCCUGGACACACUAGAUUGGGAGCAAAAAAAUAAUGCUCAAUAAAUAAUGCAGG